AUGUCAGCAGCCGCGGUAAUACGGAGGGUGCAAGCGUAAUCCGGAUUCACUGGGCUUAAAGGGUGCGUAGGCGGGUAUUUAAGUCAGUGGUGAAAUCCUAGAGCUUAACUCUAGAACUGCCAUUGAUACUAUUUAUCUUGAAUAUUGUGGAGGUAAGCGGAAUAUGUCAUGUAGCGGUGAAAUGCUUAGAUAUGACAUAGAACACCUAUUGCGAAGGCAGCUUACUACGCAUAUAUUGACGCUGAGGCACGAAAGCGUGGGGAUCAAACAGGAUUAGAUACCCUGGUAGUCCACGCCCUAAACGAUGGAUACUCGACAUACGCGAUACACUGUGUGUGUCUGAGCGAAAGCAUUAAGUAUCCCACCUGGGAAGUACGACCGCAAGGUUGAAACUUAAAGGAAUUGACGGGG
rnacentral:rRNA from 1 species